AGGCCGUGUGAUGGAGGUGGAAGUGGCACGAGAGCUGAUAUCCCUCCUUCUCACUCAGGGACUCUUCUUGUUAGCUGGAGACAGAGAACCAGCUGAUUUGCGUGGAGUAGAUGUGGGGGUCCCACGGGGCUCAGGGCCAGGACUUCCUCUGUGCUGCCGGAACGCUGGAUGGCCAACUCUACCUCUUCAUCCGUCAGCCCUGAAAUCAAGACGCACACCUUUAAAGACAUUUCAGAGGAACUGCACCAACUGUGUGUUAAUGGGAAACACCAAAUGGCUCCUUGCCUAUCAUAAUAUGAACUUAAAUUCUUCCCAGGUUCCCCACAAAUCUUUCAAGUACAACUUAGAAAAAGUAUGUCAAAUCUUUUAUUGAAUUUUACCUACCCUAUUCUGAAAACUAUAUUUUCAUUUCAUGAUUCUCAAUGGGAUUCUCCAUUAAGAGUCUCUGUUUCAGGGACAUCUAUCAAAGACAGAUAGUGUGGAAAGGUUCACACAAUGAAAUCGGAAACUCUGCUAGCCUAUUAACUGCCACCAAAGGCAAGGAAAAUAAGAGUCUGUCCACUUCUCCAGUUAUAUUUCCCAUGUGGAGAUUUCAUACACCCCAGACAGUGAAAAUGCAUUAUUUUAAUUUCUUCAUUGUAAUGUAAAUGUAUUACAUAAUUUUGCAAAUGCCAAUAUAAUUUAAUCUUCAGAUCUUUUUAAUGAUUUUAGUGAUGAUUAAAUUGCAAAGGGCUCCCUGAUGGAGAAUCAGAGGGGCGGCGGAAAAAAAAAUCUAAUAUGAACAUCUCCUUUUGUGGCAAGAAAGGAUUUUAUUCCAGACACCAUAUGCUGCCAUUGCUCUGGGUAUCAUCUUUUAAUGAGCAUCUUGGUCUAAACAAAAGGAAAAUAAUUACAACUUUUGAUGAAAUACAAUGGAAUACAACCUUAACCAAUUAAAUGUUGUAAAAAGAAAUCAAAAUUGAUUAGUACCUGCUGCAUUUCUUAGAUAUUGAUAAGCAGUGUUAACUAAAUCAGCAGUUUACAUCAUAGUGUUGUAGCAUACUGCUCAUUGUGGCUAAGCAGGUUGUCUCUCCUAACAUUGUACCAUUAUUUCUGAAAGCCAUUUCCUGUGCUUAUUGACAGAAAAUCCCCUUUGUACCAGAGCCUUUUACUUGAGCUACUCCCUCAGGAUUUAGAGAAUUUACACAAGCUCAGAAUAAGCUUCCUCUGUGUUUUGAGAGACAUCCAGAGAAAUUGGAAAGGGUUCACUUCUAGUGUUUCAAGAGAAGGCUCUUAGUUUCAUUAAAAGUGACCGCAGAAAGCCAGAUCUGAUACUGACCUCCUGAAUGGACUACAUAACAGAAACGUACUCUAGUGAAGAGUGCCAAUGAAUUGUACUGUGUAAACAUAUAGAGCAUUUAAUUCUUAAACUCUUAUGUGGACAAUGUAAUUUUAGUCAACUGCCUUUUCUGUUUUAUUGUUUGGUUUAAUGUCUUAUUAAGGACUUUGUUACAUUGUUAAGAAAUGUGCUAUAUAAAGUUUAUUAUAUUAUAUUUCUUCAGAUGAAUGAGAUAUUACAAUCAAAAUCUUUACCUCACAUGGGAAUUUCUGUUUAAGCAGUGGGUCAGAUCUCAAUAGCAGGUUCAACAUUAAUGUGAAAUCCCACUUUAACCUAAUCCUGUAUCAGCAGAACUAAAAGCAUAAAGGAAUUUUUUGAUACUCUACCACGCAGCUUAUGCCAAGGGGAGGUCCCUGCCGUCACUUAUUUAAAUGCUCCAAGGACUUCAAAUGGCCAUGAAAAUUGUUGAAUAAUUGAAGGCAAAUAUUGGCCAGCCUGUAGUCUACAGCAGGUCCUGAGUGCCAGGAAGUGGUGUCACCAUGUGCUGAGUUUGUGCAGUCAGACUGCACUGUCAAAUAAGCAAUAAUGUGUCCCUGGACUCCUGAUUCCUCUGACCACAGCAGACUACAUGGUGGCAGACUAUUGAGUGAAACUUGUGAGGAUCUCAGUUUCACCGAAAGAGAAGAAAUAAAAACAUGCUUUUAGUUUUUCAUUUCA